rnacentral:rRNA from 1 species
UGAGAGUUCAAGAGUACGUGAAACCGUUCAGGGGGUUAAACGGGUGGGCCCUCGAAGGUCGAAAAGUGUCCCCGCUCCCGUUGUGCGGCCGUCUGGCCUCUGUCGAAUCGAUCUCUUUACGGGGACGGCUCGGCGGGGGUAUUCUUGGCGGCCGCCGGCUGCAAGUGGGGGACCUAGUAGGACUCCGCGACCGACUGGGUGUGCUGUUAUAAGGGCCUGGGAUUUCUCGGUGUUGAGUGUUGGCUCUCGGGCUUUCAUUCUCCGCCGCGUGCCCGGGUUUUUCCCGAGCAGUCCUGCCCGGUCGUGACCUGUCAGUCUGCCCGUGCUUCUUCGGCAGCAACGUCGGCAGACCCAGAGCGGAGAGUAGAAGUCGGGUCCCACCCGACCCGUCUUGAAACACGAACC